rnacentral:rRNA from 1 species
GAAAAGAACUUUGGAGAGAGAGUUAAAAAGUACGUGAAACCGUAUAGGGGUUAAGCCCGUUGAAUCUAAAUAUCUGACAGAUGAAAUUCAAUAUUGUUUUUCUUUUUUUUCGAAUUAAGGGAAAUCGUAUGCACUUUUCAUCUUGUAAGACACUGUAAUCCGUUAGAUUGGAUAUAAUUUUUUAUAUUAUUUCUGAACUUAUCUUUAGUAUUCGAUAGAGUUGUUUAUUAUUUUUAUUUUGUUUUUAUGAUAAAAUAAUAUAAUAAAUUCUAAUGAGUAUCUGAUAAUGUUAAACUGACGGAUUUUUAAUUUAUGAUCAUAUAUUUAUACUCUAAACUGUAUAAUUAAAUUAAUUUUUAAUUUAUAUGCUAUCAGAUUAACGGUGCACUUAAGAUUUAGAUACCUUCGGGGCCCGUCUUGAAACACGGA